AAACUUUCAACAACGGAUCUCUUGGUUCUGGCAUCGAUGAAGAACGCAACGAACUGCGAUAAGUAAUGUGAAUUGCAGAAUUCAGCGAACCAUCGAAUCUUUGAACGCACAUUGCGCCCGCCAGCAUUCUGGCGGGCAUGCCUGUCCGAGCGUCAUUU
rnacentral:rRNA from 1 species